AAGGCAAAAAUUGGAAUUUAUUGUUUCUUGCUUUAUUUCAUCUGUAGAUGAGGACACCACAUCUAUAAAUUGAAGUUCUUGCAUAGUUAUAUGCAAACCAAUGAGGUUGUGAGGGCCAUUGUUAUAUGAAAGUUGAGGAGUCUUGUUUCAGAUAUUCCAUCUGACCUUGUGAUAAAAAUCUAUGACACUACUUAUCUGCUACACAAGUCUUCCCUUCUUCCAAAAUGUGGCCUUCUACGAAGGCUUUGCUUAGAUUCUAGUGAUUCUGAGAAUGUUCCUCUAGAGCUUCAUGAUAUGCCUGGAGGGGCAGAUGCAUUUGAAAUCUGUGCUAAGUUCUGCUAUGGAGUUUCAAUCAACAUCAGUGCUCAUAACUUUGUACCCGCACUCUGUGCUGCUAAACUCCUCCAAAUGAACGAGUCCAUUGAGAAAGGAAACACUUUGUAAGCAAACUUGAGGCUUCAUGUAAUUG